rnacentral:rRNA from 1 species
CAGCAGCCACGGUAAUACGUAGGGUACAAGCGUUAAUCGGAAUUACUGGGCGUAAAGCGUGCGCAGGCGGUUUGUUAAGACAGAUGUGAAAUCCCCGGGCUCAACCUGGGAACUGCAUUUGUGACUGGCAAGCUAGAGUAUGGCAGAGGGGGGUGGAAUUCCGCGUGUAGCAGUGAAAUGCGUAGAUAUGCGGAGGAACACCGAUGGCGAAGGCAGCCCCCUGGGCCAAUACUGACGCUCAUGCACGAAAGCGUGGGGAGCAAACAGGAUUAGAUACCCCCGUAGUCCCUGUCUCUUAUAC